CCGCAAGAAUAAGCCCCNGCUAACUUCGUGCCAGCAGCCGCNNNNAUACGAAGGGGGCUAGCGUUGCUCGGAAUCACUGGGCGUAAAGGGUGCGUAGGCGGGUCUUUAAGUCAGGGGUGAAAUCCUGGAGCUCAACUCCAGAACUGCCUUUGAUACUGAGGAUCUUGAGUUCGGGAGANGUGAGUGGAACUGCGAGUGUAGAGGUGAAAUUCGUAGAUAUUCGCAAGAACACCAGUGGCGAAGGCGGCUCACUGGCCCGAUACUGACGCUGAGGCACGAAAGCGUGGGGAGCAAACA
rnacentral:rRNA from 1 species